rnacentral:misc_RNA from 1 species
CCCCAGCCAUCUUUGGAGAAUCACCAACUUCCAACCUAAUCUAUCCACAAACCUCAGGGGAAUUUUCUAUCUGAGUUCAAUAGCCCACCUAAAUACUUAUUUGUGGUCCUCCCAAGACAAAGAUUUCACCAAAUUAUCAAUCGGUUUUGCUGUAAAGCUGAUCUGGGUCAAUCUCUUUUUGGCUAAAAAAAAUCCACAAUUUAGAAGAAGAAGAAGCAGAAGCAGAGACAAGUGAUGUGUAUAUCAAUAGUGAAUGGCAAAUGCAGAAAAAGAGAUCAAAUAAAUCCCCAUAUACAGAAGGCUAUUUCGGAGUUUUCAAAGUCUUCCAAAUCUGUGGUCAAUGCUCCCAUUCUUGCUUCUCCUAGCAAUUUCCUACGACCAUGUAAAUAGACAGAUUUCUAUCUUUUUAAUGCAAGGACUGACCUUUUAGCUUUUGGCCUGCUUCCCACCAU